CAUGAUUUACUUUAUCUUAACAAACCGUGAACUUUAUAAUAAUACAAUUCGUGUUUUAAUUUUUUUUAUAAAAUAUAUUACACUGUCAUUCGAUGAACAUUAGAUGGCUGGAUUAUUAUUUUUAUCUCAGUCGAUUUGUUUGUAUUGACUCAACAUCUUACAACAAUCACCAAAAAACAUAGAAA
rnacentral:misc_RNA from 1 species